CAUGCAGUCGAGCGGUAACAGAUCUAGCUUGCUACCCGCUGACGAGCGGCGGACGGGUGAGUAAUGCAUAGGAAUCUGCCCGAUAGUGGGGGAUAACCUGGGGAAACCCAGGCUAAUACCGCAUACGUCCUACGGGAGAAAGGGGGCUUCGGCUCCCGCUAUUGGAUGAGCCUAUGUCGGAUUAGCUAGUUGGUAAGGUAAUGGCUUACCAAGGCAACGAUCCGUAGCUGGUCUGAGAGGAUGAUCAGCCACAUCGGGACUGAGACACGGCCCGAACUCCUACGGGAGGCAGCAGUGGGGAAUAUUGGACAAUGGGGGCAACCCUGAUCCAGCCAUGCCGCGUGUGUGAAGAAGGCCCUCGGGUUGUAAAGCACUUUCAGCGAGGAAGAACGCCUAUCGGUUAAUACCCGGUAGGAAAGACAUCACUCGCAGAAGAAGCACCGGCUAACUCCGUGCCAGCAGCCGCGGUAAUACGGAGGGUGCAAGCGUUAAUCGGAAUUACUGGGCGUAAAGCGCGCGUAGGUGGCUUGAUAAGCCGGUUGUGAAAGCCCCGGGCUCAACCUGGGAACGGCAUCCGGAACUGUCAGGCUAGAGUGCAGGAGAGGAAGGUAGAAUUCCCGGUGUAGCGGUGAAAUGCGUAGAGAUCGGGAGGAAUACCAGUGGCGAAGGCGGCCUUCUGGACUGACACUGACACUGAGGUGCGAAAGCGUGGGUAGCAAACAGGAUUAGAUACCCUGGUAGUCCACGCCGUAAACGAUGUCGACCAGCCGUUGGGUGCCUAGAGCACUUUGUGGCGAAGUUAACGCGAUAAGUCGACCGCCUGGGGAGUACGGCCGCAAGGUUAAAACUCAAAUGAAUUGACGGGGGCCCGCACAAGCGGUGGAGCAUGUGGUUUAAUUCGAUGCAACGCGAAGAACCUUACCUACCCUUGACAUCUACAGAAGCCGGAAGAGAUUCUGGUGUGCCUUCGGGAA
rnacentral:rRNA from 1 species